AACCCAAUUCGCCACCAUAGUAUGUGCCAGUUUUGUCUCUAUCUAAAAAUUAGGGUAAACUUCAAAUACCCCACGUGGUUUCACUAAAGUAAAUAUUCGAUAAACCUAGGUAGGGUAUCUGAAGUUUUUUAUAUAUAAUUUAAUGAAAUAUUAACAUAGAAGCCAAUGAAAAGAGAAAGAUGAAACCACAUGGUACUAAAUUGAUGCACUUUAAAUCACAGGAUACUAAAGUGAGAAAGUAUGAAACCACAGGGUACUAAAAUGAUACACUUUAAACCAUAUGGUACUAAAGUUAAAAAGUGCGAAACCAUAGAGGUAGUAUUUAAAGUUUUCUCUAAAACUUAUAAUCCUCUUCUCUAAAGUUUAUUUUAUUUUUUUUAGUUUUAGUAUUAAAAAAUAUCCAACACGUUCUUUGAUUGAGGCAUAAUUAAACAUCCGGCAGCAGAUCAAGGGCUCUCCAACGGGGUGUCGUUGAGGAGCUCCUCACUGAAGUUUUAUUUAAGGGGCUUGAUUGAUUGGUACCCGAGGUAGUCCCAUAUUUGGACUGUAGUUGCUUCAUAUUUCUAGUUAAAUUUAUGUUUUAAAACAAUGAAUGAAAUGAAUAAUAUGCUAUCUUUCUCUCUAAGAAAAAAAUAAAAAAUUUCCUGUUGUAAGUCCAAUGGGCGAGAUUGGUGCAGGGAUUGCUACGGGAUUGGUUUGAGACUUGGUGGUUUAUUUUCAACUCCAUGUGACGUCCCUAGUAGUCCUACAUUGUAUGGGAACGAAAUUGCGUGUGAAGAUACAAGGACCAAAGACUCUAGUAACAAUAUUUAGACUUAAGCAUUUUAUGUCAGUAAUUUAAAUCCAACAAUUUAUUAAUGCUAAUGGUUUGGGUCGUUACAUUUAGUAUCAGAACCGAUUCGCCGGUCGGAAGUGUGAGAUGGGUCUCACAUGUGAUGCACCGAUAGUUCCACAUCGUACGGGACUAGAAUUAUGCAUGAAAAUAUAAGGAUCUGAAGUUCUAACAAUAACAACUAGGCUUAAGCAUUUGCAGCCGAUGGUUUGAGUCCAACGAAUUAUUAGUGUUGUUGGGUCAGAUUGUUACACUCCCACCUUGUGAAGAAAAACAGAACUCCAAUCGCAGUACCGAUAUUUGUCAUGUUAACUCACUUAAAAAUCAUUUUAUAUCAAUAACAACCUUUUGAUUUAUAACUUUAUGAAUAUGGUUUUAAAAAUUAGGUGAAUUUAGGGCAAGUUUGAGCAAGUUCAAGGUGGGCACUGAGCAGAUUUGGAAUAGAGGCCCUCGUGGGUAGGGACGGAUUGUAAAUCCGUACCCGCCCCGAAUCCGUGACGGGUUGAAAUCUUCUUCUUCAUACCUAUCCCGCAACCCUAUUUACGGCUUUAACGGGCCGGAUUAGGGAUUAACGGACUCGAGAGAUGGAUCCAAGACCCGAUAUGUCCAAACUCUUUCAAAUAUAGAGGCUCUUUUUAGGUAUGCAAUUGGGGCGGUCCGCGGGCCAAACUUUUUUAAAUUAGCGCAAUAUUAUCUAAAAAACAAGACAAAAAUAUACAGACUUUAUUUAAACUAUAAAUUAUUUUGAGUUUGCUAUCCAAUAUUUCAAAAUUUCGAUUUUAUUACCCAAUCUUUUAAUUUUUUUGAUUUGAGGUGGUUUGCAGGCUUUGACUUCAAAAUUUGAAUUUGUCAUUUUUCUUUACAAAUUUAGUUAGUAUAUUCCAUGCAAUUCUCAUAACUGUAAACUCAUUAAAGUAAGUAAUAGCUUAAUGACUAACUUAAAUCAAAUAAAUUAAGAGGUUGGGCAGUAAAAUCAGAACUUCGUAUGUUUUUAUCUUAAAAAAAUUACUUUUCUCGGCCCAGAUUCGGCUCAUCCGUGUUGUUAAAUAGAAAAGUUUAAAGCUUCUGAUUUGACGGAUUGUUACGAAGUUUCGUGGCGUCACGAAACCAAACGUAAAGUCCAUUUUGGGGCUUCCUCUUUUGUAGCAAAACAAAGCUCCGGUAUUACGCGAACAACAUUACACCCUACAGCAAGACGGAACAGGGUCUUGAAUAAUUUAUUGGUUUUGUCAAGGCCCAUUAUAGCUCAACCUGACCCGACCCGUUUAAAAACAUCGCGAAUCGGGCCGGACCGGCCGGCAUUGGGGCCCGGCCCAUUAGCUACCUUUUUUAAUCAACAUUGCAAUUAAUGCUUAAACAACUAUUGCUCCAAGGAGUUCUAGGAAGGAAAAUGAUUUAAAAUAUGGAGAAAUAUUCAAAUUAGAGUAGAUUUAGAGUGCAAAUUAAGUAUCAAAAAUUUAAAAGGAUAAUCCUUUUGAAAUUGUGCUAACAUAUUCCCGUUGCUAGUAUUGCAGAUAUACUCCUCAAAGUAUACGUAUUCGUCUGUAUAAUCUGAAGUAAAAAUUCACACUCAAUCUCACUCGAACGUUGUUAUAUAGUUUUACUUUUUUUAUCUUAAAAAAAAAAAAAUCCCAUCUCUAACAUUUUAUCAUCAAUACAUAGAGGGCCAAAAAGUAUUAGUAUAUUGCAAAUCAAAUUGUGUACACCUUUUUGUGUGCUCAAUGUGUUUCAUUUGUUUUUAAUUAUUAUUUUUAGCUUUGUACUUGGAUUUGGUGAGCCACUAUUGACCAUAUAUUGUCAAAAUCCUUCAACUAAUUAAUGUAGCUUUUAGACUUUUGAUUUGUUGGAAUCCAUGUACAAUAAAAAAUGGUGAACUUUUUUUUUUUUUUUUUUUUUGGGUUAAAGUGAGCAUUAAUUCAUUGACUUAGUUGACCUUGUGCUUUGAGACACUUUUAUUUUAAUGGCCAUUGCUUUGUGAUUAAGAUAGUAAAACAUGUUUGGUUCACCUAAACUAUAUAAUAUUAUUUAAUAAAGUAUUGUUUCAGUAAUAUUACUAGAAAAAAAAAAUAUUAUACUAAAAUACUAAUUUUUAUUUUUACAGCACAAUCAAAAAUAUUAAAUAUAAGUUUUUGAUUUCGACGCUCGAAAAACAGUUAUGUUUUUAGCUACAAUAUAAAAGCAGAAGCAGAAGCAAAAACAAAAGUAGAUUGAAAAAGAUCUUAGAGUCCUUGUUUUGUAGCAUUUAUAUGUUUAUACUCAUUAGCGAGUAUGUCUUCUGCGCUUUCGAAAGCACGGAGAUCUCUUUAUUUAUAAAUUAUUUUCGAUGAUGUGAUAUCCGAUUUGACGAUCGGCUCCGUUAAAUAUGAUUUACACUAUUAGAAUCAUUUAGAAACCAAAUUUUAUAAAUUUUCGACAUAUCUAUCAAAUAAUCAAAGGGUCUCAAAAAUAACUAUUUUAACAGUCAAUCUAACACGUUUGUAAGUUCAACAGUAUAGAAAAAUUCAAAUUAUAUUGAAACUUUAAUAAAAAAUUUUAUUUAAUAUCAAGAGUAAGAACAAUACUCUCGAUUUAAAAUUUAAAUUUUUUAUUAUUAUUUUUUAUCAGAUUUUUAUUUUUAGUCGUUCAUUUUGAGGCUUUUCGUUCACUAGACAAAUGAAAUGAAAAAAUUAUAAAAUUUAGUCUUUAUAUAGUUCUAAUAGAGUAAUUUAUACCUGACAAAGCCGAUUGUCGAAUUCGAUAUCCCAAUAUCGAAAACAAUAUAGGAGCUUAACUGACUCAUUAACUAUAUAUUAUUAAUUUAUUAUUUACUUUUUUUUUUGUUAAAGAUAAUAAAACUUUUUGUGCUUAGUGUUUUGUUUAAAGUGACACAAUGCACUUUGUUGGUGCCUUUUGCUUUUCCAAACCACAAUUUUUAAAAGAGUAAUAAUAAUAAAUUAAACCUACUUUUUGAUACGAGACCAUUUCCACAUUGACUCGUUGACCGUUGACUCGUUAAAUUAUUUUCUCUUAUCAAGUAAGGAAAUUGCGUUCAAACUUAAUUUAUUCUUUUUUUAAUAUUAUUUUAUUUAUAAUUAAUUUAAAAGAUAAUCGCAUAGACACCCUCCUAAACUUUAAAAUUUUGGUAAAAUGCCCACAGACCGUCUAAAUCACCCUCUUUGGAUAAUAUAUGAAUUAACAACAUAUACUAAUUUCGAAUAUCCAAGUCAGAUUUCGAAUCGGAAUCUGAACCCGAAUCCGAAAUAUUCUUAUAUAUCUAUAUUUGAAUUCGAAUUCGAAAAUACUGUAAAUACAACAUCCUAAUUUGAAUCCCGAAUUCGAUCGGAUGCAUAAUUUUGAGAUCCUAUGCGCAUCUGAUCAAAUCCUAAGCCCUAAACCCUAAAUCGAAUCCGGUGUCGGAUUCGAUCGGAGCUUAUCCUAACCACUUUCACACCUAGAUGAGAACACAAACUAGCAAAGUACACAAAAAAAAAAAGAAAAAGAGUUCCACAUGGGGAGAAUUUAGCACCCAUGACUUUUGAGAAAUACAUGAUACAAAAUAUAUAUGAAAGAGUAAGGAAAGAAUCCUAAAUUUGACCUUUUGAAAAAGAAAAAAUAUAAAAGUUGACUUGGACUGGUAAAAGUUUGACCACAAGAGAGAGAGAGUGAGAAUGUUUGACUUUUUAUAUAUUUUAAACACCAUGUAAAUAGCAAACUAGGGUUUAGCUGACUCAACAACUGUAUUAUUCUGCAGUAGAGUAUUAUACGUAUAAACAUUUAUAAGAAAUAUAAAAUGUUAGAAUAUGUAUUUACACAUCUAAUAAGAAAACCUAGUUUGCUAUUUACACAAGAUAUAUGAAUAUUUACACAAAUAUAUAUACAAGUUUUAAUCUAAGAUUCUUUUCAAGUAGAGAGGCUACAAAGAUAUGAAAAUAUUCACAAAACCUAAGCUAAACUACUCAUCAUCUAUUAAAUUUUUCUUAUGCGAAAUUUUUACAUCGGGUUCACGAAUACGACCGGAUCGAUCGAAAGCUCUCGAACCGGUACCCCUUGAAGAAGCUGGCGAAAAGAAAAGCGGCGAAACUCAGUGCAGCAGGGGGCUUGUUGCUGCUGCUACUGAAAGGGUUGUGUUUGAUCCUCAGGAUUUUGUGGCCGACUCUCUCGCGUAUCGACUCGAUCGUCUUGGCGUCGAUGGGGUUACCGGCGUUCUCGGUGAGGUAGAAUGUGUCGAGCGCUUCCCCGCCCCGCGUCGAUAUGUUGGCUCUCCGAAUCGUCAAGCCGCUCUCGCGGAACACCCUCGUGAUCUCCGAUAGUAGCCCGACCCGGUCCUCGGUCCUCACCUCCAAUUCCAAUCCCUAUGAACACACAACAAAAACAAAAUUUGUCACUUUCGAGGUCUGUCGGUAAUGUAGGUCAUAAGAGGGACCUCGAUGCAAUUUCAUGCGAUAAAGUGAUAUUUUGGGGAUACAGCAAGUCACAAAAGAGGAUUCUAGGGCACGGCAUUUCGACUCUUUACCUCCGAUGUCCUUCGCUCGAUGGCGGCCUCGAGGCAUUGGAUCAAGCGUUGCCUCUCGGCCUCCGAUCGUAGCGGUAGCCCAUCGACAUGUCGUAUAUAGUAUUCCUGCAACCAAAUAAGACACUUACUUGCGAAUAUGUUUCCGUUUCGUGCGAAAUAGGGUUUUAGAGAAAUGUUAUGGAGAUUUUUUUAUACCUGGUAGGCUUCUUCCGUUCCCGAGUCAACCGUGCCGUGAUACACGACGUAGUCCAUGUCGGUGAGCGUGCAAACCGUGUCGAAAAGAAGCUUGGGCCGAUCCUUCGAUCGGAUGAUCACCACUGUGUAGUCCUUCUCGGGGCAAUCCAUCACCGCAACGUUCGUCCUCGAGCUCUCGCUCCCGCCCUCGAACCUCUUUCUCGCGUAGUCCCGAUCGUCGAACAUCAUUUGGUGGAGCCUCCUCUCCUUGUGCGUCCCCCCCCUCGAGACCACGGUUUUCGCGGCAUGCGACUCGUAGUUGCCACCGCUCCCCUUGAGGAUGUUGCAUAGGCUAUUCUUGAUCACGGCGACCCGCGCCUGGUCCUCGACUGCUAGACCAGUUGGAUCGUCAGUGACCUGCACGACGGCCGCAACGCGGUUGCUGUGGGUCCAAACCUCGGCGCUCACGACGCUGCAAUUGAGGUUGUUGAGCACCGCGCAUAUCUCCGAGAGGAGGCCGGGCCGGUCAGGGCCGACGAGCUCGAUCGACGUACAAUCCUUCGAGCUCGAGGGGACUAUGCCGACCGAGUUUCGGAAUUUCGGGAAGAAGCAUUCGUCCGACUCGAGGGUCUACGCAAAUACGACCCAAAAAAACAUUUUUCGUAAGCGAAUCAUAUACAAACAUGACAAGAUAAGUCGACACAACUUCGAUGCAAGCGUCGUAUAUUAUAAUUGAGCAUGGUUCUGAGUUCAAAUCCCGCCAAGUACGAAUAAAUAAAUAAAUAAACAUAUCGAGAAAAUUACGGUUUGGAUGUAGGAGAUGAUCUUCUUAUCGAGAAUUUUGUUGCCGUCGCAGUCGAUCACGUUGAACACUAAAACAAUCAAAAGAAGUGAGAAAUUUGUGAGUACGAAAUCUCGAUAACAAAAAUUUGAAUUAUUUUUUUUUCAAAUUUUUUUUGAAUUUAGUUCGAGUUUUUUCGAAAUUUUACCAUCCAUAAACCAGCUCCCAUCAGAAGAAAUAUAAGCUUUGGUGAUCACAAGAUUAAGAUCAGCAAUCACUUGCACAACCUCAAGGAGAGUCCCAUGCUUAUUUACACUAUCAACCUGAUUCAAAAAUUUUAAAAAAUUUUAAAAAAUUAAUGAACUUCAAAAUUUUGCAACAAAUGUGAGAAUUUGAAUGUUUGGUGUAGUGUAUAUAUUGCCAAAAAAUUGGAAAAAAAUGAUGAACAAGGUUAAAUUUACCCGAAUCACCGUCGCGGUGUCGCAAGCAUCAUUAUCUAUCACAACCCUAAUGCAAAAAAAAAGGAAAAAAUAAAUGGUUAGUGAAGGAUAAUUAUGUAUAUGAUGAUUAUCUAAGAGGGAAUUAACUCAUCAAUUUAUUAUUAAAUAAAAAUAUUUCUAACAGUAUAUUCUUAAUUUAGAAAAGAUACAAGAAAAAUACAAAAAAAAAAGAAUGUAACUUAAUUUAGAAAUAUUUUUAUUUACUAAUAAAUUGAUGAGUUAAUUCCCUCUUAGAUAAUCAUCAUAUACAUAAUUAUCCUUCACUAACCAUUUAUUUUUUCCUUUUUUUUUGCAUUAGGGUUGUGAUAGAUAAUGAUGCUUGCGACACCGCGACGGUGAUUCGGGUAAAUUUAACCUUGUUCAUCAUUUUUUUCCAUUUUUUUAGCAAUAUAUACACUACACCAANUUUGAAGUAAAAAAAUUUGCUUUAAAUAAACACAAAUCUCAAAACCAAAAGCACCAAAACAUAACAUGGGUAUUAAAAAGAAAACAAAAAAAGGUAAAAUAAAAAGAAUUAAUUAAAACAACAAAAAUCUCAAAUCAAACUACAAAAAAAGAAAAAAAAAAUCGAAAAAACAAAACACACAAAGAAAAAGAUAAAAAUCUAAAAUCCAAACAACUCCUAAAUUGGAAAAAAAAAAAAACCAAAAUCAAACUAUAAAAAAUACCACCCAAAAAGUAAUAAACCAAAAAUCCAAUUAAUACUAAAAUUAAAUUAAAAUAACAAAAAACCCAAAUCAUACUACAAAAAAAACCAACCCCCCAAAAAAUAUAACAAUCCAAAAAAAUCUAAAUAACACCAAAAUUAAAAAAAUAAAAAACCCAAAUUAAACUACAAAAAAUGCCCCGUAAUAAUCCACAAAAAAAAACCACAAUUAAACCAACAAAAAACCCAAAUAAAACUAAAAAAAAUGUCCCUAAAAAACCCAAAAAAAAAAAGAUUAACAUUCCAAAAAUCCAACUAACACUAAAAUUAAAUUAAAACAACAAAGAACCCUAAUUUCAAACUAGAAAAAAAAUACCCCCAAAAACACCCAAAAAAAGAUAGAGAAUCUAACAUCCAACUAACACUAAAAUUAGAACAACAAAAAAACCAAAUCAUACUACAAAAAAAAAAAAAAAACCAAAAAACCCAAAAAAUAUAUUAACAAUCCAAAAAAAAUCCAACUAACACCAAAAUUAAAACAACAAAAACCCUAAUCAAGCUACAAAAUAUUACACCCCCCGAAAAAAAAUAAAAAAACUAAAAAAACUAAAAAAAACUAAAAAAAAAAAUUACCUUGGUGGGUUCAUCUUCCUUAUGAGCUUAGAAUAUUCAUCAUCAUCCACUUCUCCAACUGUUGAGCUCCCCAUCUCCUCCCCAACACCACCAAAAAUUAAACUAAAAAUUAAAAAAACCCAACUUUAGAGAGAGAGAGAGAGAGAGAGAGAGAGAGUAGUGUUAAUGUUAUGAAUUGUUAUGAAUUGUGUGUGUGUGUGUGUAAUUGUGUGUAUGCGUUUUGAAGAGGAAACAGGGGAGUAUAAAAAGCAGGGCCUUUUGGGAACGGCUCUUGGAAUUUCUAAUUAAUUAAAUUAAAUUUAAUUUAAUUUAAUUUAAUUUUAAUUACCAUUUUUUGUUUUUAUUAUUAAUAAUUUUUUAAUAUUUUAAUAUGGGGGGUUUAUUUUUGGUAUUUUUAUUUUAUUUAUUUCCAAAUAGAUAGAUUACGUUUCCCACCACCCACCCACCCGCGUGGUGACGUGUCAGACUCCCAUUGGUUCUGGGUUCUCUCUUCGGUGGGAGAGUGAUAUUUCCACUCCGCUGAUAUUUAUUGCGCUGCGAUUUGGAAUUGGUAAAAUUGCAUGAAGAACCCUGCACUAUGGAACAAUUUGAACUUCCUAUAAAAAAAUGUUUUAUUUUCACCUAUUUUAAUUUAAUUUAAGUUUUUUCAGGUAGUUGAUUUUUUUUUUUUUAAACAAGGGUCAGAAAUUUAUUAUAUGAUGAAUAAUUUAUUUAUACUUAUUUAUAAGAGUUAUAAAAAAUUAGAAAGAAAUAGAAAAAAAGAGCUUACAUAAAAAAAAAGUAAAUUAAGAAAAAAAACCAUAAAAAUAUUGCUGUCAAAUAUAAUAAAAUUUAUAAUUCAAUUCAUUAAAAAAUAAAAAAUAAUUAAAAAUAGUGAAGCAUCCUGUUAAGGACAGUUCUUUUCUACAAAAAAAAAAAAAAAAAUCAUAUUCGAACCGGCUAGACUGUAAUCCAGUGCUCAAACUAGUUUGAUUCAACCAACGAAAUCGGACCGACUCAAAACUCACUUUGACUAGUUCAGUUAAAUAAUCCGGCUCUAUAUUACAAAGAUCUUUAUAUUUUAAUAAUAAUUCAAAAAUAUGUAUUAGUUUUUUAAUAUUCUAUACUUUAAAUUCUUUAAAUUAUCUAUAAAUAAUAAUUUAAGAAUAAUAUGGAACACUAUACUUAUAUAUAUUUUUUAGUUAUAUAUAUAUAUAUAUAUGUAGUAUAAAAACAAAUUAAAUAUAUAUAAUAUCAUACUGAUGUUGAAUCAUUGGUCAAACCAAUAACUUGUGACCUGACUUUUCGAAGCGUAAAAGGUUCUAAAUUUUAAAACACAAACUAAAGAAUAAAAGUCAAGAGUCUAUCUCAAAAUCUUCUAUAGCUGAGGGGUCUCAAUGCUAUUUCACCUAGGUACAGGGGGGAGGAAUGAGUUGGGGUGAGAAUAUCAGAGAUUCGGGCCCGGGCCCGAAUCGCGGGUGAGAAGGUUCCGGUUCCCGGUUCUCCCACACGUGGUCGCACCGGUCGAACCGAACCGAACCACCUCAUACAGUUUAGACGCUACGGUGGACCCGGUCCGACCGGUGCCGGUUUUUUCGGGGGCAAACCGGGCCGACACCGGACCGGGUGUCCACUUCAUGUUGGAGUGUUGGACUCAUGACCCACCCAAACACUUCUAUAAAUUCUUUUUUUAAAAAAAAAAUUAUUUUUUUGGUAAAAAUGCAUGGAGACCCCUCAAUUAUAGGCGAUUCUGAAACAUCCCCCUCAGUGGCUACUUUGUAUAUUCGAUUUUUUGUUUUCUUUCAUAGUUGACCUAUUUUUCUAAAUUGAAGUGUUAAAUGUAACAGCAAAAUUUGUAAUUUAAUUGCAGAGAAGUAACGUGGAAACAAUAGAAUUAUAAAUGUAGAGAUGUUGUUAUUUUGUAUGGAUAAGACGUGUUCAGAAAUUAACUCAUAAAAUAAUAAACUAAAAAUAUACAUAAUUUGUCUGAACUAUGGAUCAUUUUGAAUCAGCUACUCAAUUUUUCGAAAUUCUAAUUUUGUUGUCCAAUUUUUUAAUUCAUUUAAUUUGAAUCAGUCAACGAUGCUUUGAUUUUAAAAUUCAAAUGUAUUAUUUAUCUUUACAGAUUAGUUAGUAUAUUUCAUUCAAUUAUUCUUGCAACUAUAAAUUCUUUUAUAAAAAUUAGCUUAAAUUUUUGAAGUCAAAUUUUAGCGUCCUCAACGACUAAUAUGUUUAAGUAGAGGUAUAGCAUGCAAAUCGCAAUAUCCGGAUAGUAUAGGGACUGUUUACACAUUUUCACCUGUUAUUUUUAGGAAUAAUUUCAUAGAUGCCCUUCUAGAAACUAUUAAUUUCAUCAAUACCCUUCUAAAAUUGAUAAUAUCACCAAUACCCUCCAAAUAUGUAAAAAUUAUCAUAAAUGCCCUCUAUUAGUUUAGAUCCGUUAGGUCCCAUUUGAAACGGAGUUAAAUUUUUAAAAUACCAUUUUUACCCUUUAUCUCUUAUUAAUACUUAAUAAUAAAAAUACUAAUAGGUAUUUUAAGAUAAUUUUGUAAAUCUAAAUUUGAGUAUUUAAUAUAUACAUAUUAAAUUAAAUCAUUAAUAUAUAUUAAUUAUUAAAAAAUAUAUAAAAAUUAUAUUUUAUAUAUAGUAUGUUUUUAUCUAAUUUUGGUUUUGUUUUUAGUUUCGGAUUUCGGUUCAAGUUCAGUUUAAAUAUAGACCAAAUGCAUAACUGAAUUUACAUACGAUGGGAUUUUAUUUUUUGAUAUCUAUAACUGAAACUAUUCCUAUUCAGCAUUGAUUAAGCUUACCUCAUUUUAAAUCGAGUUAGAUAAAAUUGCGUAUCUUUAUCAAUUUAUAUUCCUAAUUAGUAAUAGUAAUUUUGAAAUAAAUUAUAGAUUUUAUUUUUUUCCUAUUUAAGCAAAAGUAAAUCACAUAACUAUAUGCAUGAAUUAUUCUGUCGAUUGAAACAAAAAUAGAGUUUUUGUUCGAAAGCUAAAAUAUAUUAUGUUUCAGUUUUUUAAUGCAUUUAAUGCAGAUAAAAUUAUCGAGAAUAAUUUUGAUUAAAAAAAAUUUUAACUUUCAAAAUUAAAGAAAGAUCAGAUAAUUUUUUAACAUUAUUUUCAUUUAAAUUUUUAUAUAUAAUUAUUUAUUCGAUAAAAUAUAAAUAGAGCGACUAGAUUUGGUGAAAUUAUCAAAAAAAAAACUAAAAAAUUCUCAUUUUUUUCAUACACUAAAAUGGAUAUCAACUAAAAAAAUAAAGUUGAGGGAGCAGUUUCAAAAUGGCAUAAGUUGAGGGGAUCUCCAUACAUUUUUUCUUAAAAGAACCUUGAGGGUAAAUGAGUCAUUUUAAAAGUUAACCCAUCUUUAACCCUUUAAUAACUAUGGUAAAACUAACUUAACUAACAGUAAGGGUAUUGAUGAUAAUUUUCUGUAUUUACAGGGGUAUAUGUGAUAUUUUAAAUUUUAGAGGGACAUCUAUGAUAUUUUAGACUUUGAGAGGGGUAUCCAUGAAAUUGCCCCUUUUUUUUAUAUGAAAAUAAUAGUGGAUAAUAUAUUAUGGAUAUAUUGAUAAUAUAUUAUUAUAUAAUUAAUAUCUCAAAUUAUUCCCUUCUAUAAUAGAAUUAUAUGUCAUAUAUGUUGCAAAAUUUGGUAGCAAAUUUUAUCUCAAAUAUAUGGGGGCAAAAAAUAUGUUAAUUGUUACAUUUGCUUCUAUAAUUGAUUUAUUGAAUAAUAAAUUUAGGAUAGGGAUUAAUUUAUUAAAUUUUCCUUCAUGCAUAUCCAAAAGUAAAGCUAAUUUAAUCAAAGAGUGUUGUUAUGUGUAAUUAUUUCCAUAACUGAAAUUUUUAUAGAUUUGGAAACCAUAUAUGAAAUUUAAUGCAAUUAAGAUAAUGGAUUAACUCUAGGAAUUAAGGUAACUGGGCAAUUAAUUAGAGGAAAUAAAAACAAAUAUGUUAAGAUAGAUUUAAAAUUGAGUGGAUAAAUAAGGAGAUUUAGUGACAUAUAUAGAAAAAAAUAAAAUUAAAAAACAAAAAUUAGACCUAACAAUUUGAGAGAUUCAAUAUUUGUGUUGAACACAAAUGGUUAUGGUAAUUAAUCUCAAAUUUAUAGUAUCUUUAUUUAAUUUGUGGAAUUAAUAAUUGAAGAUUCAUCCAAAAAAAAUUAAAAGGAGAUUAAUGAAGAAUUGUUACCAUUUUGUAGAGGUGAUAAUUAGGGAUGUAGAAUUUAGAAUUUUUAGAGUUUUCUUUUUUUUUGUGGCUUAAGGAAAAAUAAUAAUAAUUUCUGAGAGAAUUAUACGUAGAAUAACUGCUUCUAAAAUAAUUUCUCUACUGUCCUCGAAAAGUUUUGAAAAAAUAGUUUUCCGGGAAAACGUCCUUUUCCACUGUUUUUGUUUUAUCGGAUUAAAAAUUUGAAAAAUGAAAACACUAGUAAUUUAUAAAAUAUAGAAAUUAUUUUCAAAAAAUAAAAAAAAACUAUCUUUUUUUGAGAAAACAAACUUAUUUUCUAGGUUAUUUUUUGAGAAAUCAAACACCCCCUAAAAUAAGUUUUGAAACUUUUGCUUUUAUUGGAGGAAAAAAAAAUGUCAGUGAGAUUUGCACCAAAAAUCUACUAGUACUUCUUCAAACAGUUGUAUUCGAUCAAAAUUUUGUAGAAAACUUUAUAUGUGAAAAAAAAAAAAUUGUCGGUGAGAUUUGCACGAAAGGAGAUCUGUUAGUGCUUUUUUGAACAGUUUUAUUCUAAUAAAACUUUUGUAUAAAGCUUUUUAUAGAAAAGUUGGAUUUUAACUGCAUAAUGUGAAAACCACAAGUGCUUAUUAAUUAGAAUAUUAGAACCUUCCAAUAUUAAUAUUUUUUUGUUUAUCGAAGUUAACUAUAAUUUUCCACAACAAUAGAUCAGCCCUAAAACUUUUGUUUAUCAAUCACUUGGAGAAACUUCAUUUUCGAAGCCACGCCGAAGAAAAACACUUUUGAAAAAGAAUUAUUCAAAUUGGAAUUUUCAAAGAAUUUUCAUUUAGUGUUCACCCCACAUUAAUUAAACACUAUUUUCUCUCUUUUUUUAAUUUUAUAUUUCUUUCUUUUUUCUUUGGCAUACCUCAAAGUGAGCUAUUUUUUCUAAGUCCAAGAUUCACAUAAAUUUCAAUUUUGUGUUUUCAAACCCACAAAAAAAAUGUCAAAAACAAGAAUUUAUAUAUGGCAUUACAUGUAUGAAUAUAUGAUCUAUCAAGCAUCAACCUUAAUUUGUCAUAAAAUAUGACUUUUAGGGCCAUUAAAUGUCCCUUUUUUCAAAUUUUGAUUUGUUUUCAAACCAUGUAUUUAAUUAAUGAAAAGCUCAUGCAAUGCUUCUUUUCUCUUCUUGAUUGUUACUUGGUGAAAUUGAUAGACUAUUAAUGUUUCUGAAUCUCCGGCAUAAUCUAGAACGAAGAUAAGAGCAGAAACAUAUAUAAAAAAAAGAAGGAAAUUUUUUUUUUUUUUCACACUGCAGAAGCUAGCUUUUUUAAAAGUGUUGUUUGAAAAAGCUAUAUAAUUUUUUGGCUAAUAAAAUCGUCCGUACAAGCACUACUAUAUAUGUUGAAUAUAAAAAAUAUAAAAAACACCAUUUUAUACCAGCUUAGAUUUAUGAAGAAAAAUAUUAUUUUGUAUAAUUUAAGGCUUUUGUUUUUAAGAUCCAUAUUAGAACUCAUUUGAGCAUCCUACUCUUGGGGGAAAAAAGAAAAAAAGAAAUAAAAACUUCUGAAUUGUAUUUGUAAAAACACCUAACUUUUAUUAUUUUAUAAUUAAAGCUGUUUCGAAAUCCUAGUUAAAGAGAGAAUAAAAUAACUAAUAAAAAAGAAUCAAGGCACCCUUGAAAUAUAUAUAGAGAGAGAGAGAGAGAGAGUGUUGAGUUAGAAUGCUGUCGAUAGCAAACAGACUCUAUUGUUAACCAUUUAUUUUCGAUGAUUGAGCCUCCUUCUUGUAUAAUUUUUUGUCAUUGUUUUUUUUCUUUUUUCUUCUUCUGUAAUUUAUUUUUGUCACGCCUUUCCACCAACGGCCACGGUCCAGACGACGACGCCGCCAAGGACCGCCGCUCCGAGGCUGCGGUGCCGCAGCAACCUCCACGGCGUUGGCGUUGACGUUGGCGGAGAGGCGUCGUCAUCGGAGGCAGCGAAGGAGGGAGAGGAGGGAGAGAAAGAGGGCGAGAAGGGCGGGGAAGGGUGAGAGAGGGCGAGAGAAGCGUUAUCGUCGAGACAGUGGUGGAAGGUCGGAGAGGUAAAAAAAAAAAGAGUCGCGGCUCGGCCUUGGCGUUAUCAGAGGCGAGGGGGAGUGCACAGGCGAGGCGAGGGCAUGAGAGUGAGAGACAAGACGGGCCGUUUUCUCCUUCGCCUCUGCCACCGCUGUCUUCGAAGAAAAAAAAAAUGAAUAAGAGAAAAAAAAAAAAAAAGAGAGAGAGAAAAAAAAUAAUAAAUAAAUGGAAGAAAGAGGGGAAAAAAAAGGAAGAGAGAGGAAAAAAAAAAAAAAAGAGAGAGAGAAAAAAAAUAAUAAAGAUAUUUUGAUUAAUUUGUAAAAAAUUCGGACCGAAUAUGGAAUAUCGAAAAAGACUGUCUAAUUUCACAAAAGCUUAAAAUUUAAUAGAUUUUCUACACAAAUUGGUCUAUAAAUAUUUAUAUAUUUAUAUUUAUCCAUGUUGUACACAUGGAGAGUCAUAAGGAGGGGAUAAGGAAAAGUGGCAUGUUACGUGUGCCACGUCACCCUAAUCUAACAAGUGUCCUCGUCGUGAUAAUGCCUAAAUACGUACGUAUCCCCGUAAUCUACGGAAUGGUGUAGUGGCCACGUCACCACAAAUUUAAAUUUUUAGUCUAAUAUAAAAAAAUUAAAAAUUUAAACAUACUAUCAUAAAAAAAAUUAAUAGAAAUUUCAAUAUGACCUAAUAUUUGGGCUAUAUCAGGACCUCCGUGGGAAUAGGAAUAUUUAAACCUGCCAAAUAGACGGAUUAAAUAAUCUGCAGACAGAUCAUUAUACUCGUGAGUUAUUUCAGUAUGAAUAAAAUUUAUUCUUAAAUUUUUUGAUAGCCAAUAUCUUUAUCCAUACCAGUAUGCAGUUUGGCUGGUAGGUAUGCGGGUUACCCGUAAAUUUUUUUUUUUCUCUUAUAUUUUUUAAAUGCGCACACACACACACAUAUAUAUAGUUUUAAAGACGUAACAUAACUCAUUAUUUAAAUUAUCAUAAUAUACAACAAAAAUAUUUAAAAUCUUAGAGUAAAAAAAUUUCAUAAUAUAAAAGGCACGUGAUAAGAAAUUAUAAUUAGAAUUUUUAUGACGAAUAAAUAAAAAUAUAUAUUUUUUGAAAUUUUAAAAAAAUAUUUUUUAAUUAAAAAAUAUAUGUGUGAAUAUCCGUGGGUACCUACGGGUUACCCAAAAUACCCACAACUUAAUGAGUAUCUAUCCGUUUUAUUCUUAAUUUUUUUAGGUUGAAAAAAUUAGUACUCGUACCAAUAAAUUUGUAAGUAAUCUGUUGGUACCCACGCGUAUGGAUCGAGAUUGGCAGGUCUGAAAAUUUUAGAAAUUAUUUUUUUAUUAUUACAAAAGAUGGGGGAUGAAAUUGAGAUUAAUAUACCCGGGAGGACGUGGACGUGGACGUGGACGUGGAUGGGCCUGCUGUCUCUACUUUACCUGCUCUGCUAUCAUCGCUUGCUACGCUCUUCAUAUUAAAAUAUAAAUAUAUGCAAAUAUAUAAAAACAUAUUUUUUUUCUAGAACACUUUAUUGGAGAACAUAGCACAUAGAAAGAUGUUGGAACCCUAAUUUAACUAAUUUGUGCCCCACCAUUCCACCAACCCAUUUUUGAGGUGGCACAAACCCUACAUUAAUUGGAUGUGGUGAGAAAUAUCAAACUUUUUCUCACCCUUUAUUCUCUUUGCCCAAUCCCUUGCAAAGGGACCCACAAUGUACACCAACAAGUGUUACACAUUUGCACCAAUCAAUGUAUCAUAAUAUAUCACAUGGGCCCCCUCUAUGUAGCAUAUGAUAUUUUUUUUGCUAUGUUAAAAAGUGUAUGGAGACCCCCUCAUCUAUAGACAAUUUUUUUGUUUUAAAUUUGAUAGCCAUAUUAAUUAUUAGUUAUUAUUAUUAUUUUUCGAUUUUACGUGUUAUAAGAUAAGUAAAAACUAUCAAAUUUGAUGAAAAUUUGAAAAUUUACAAGAGUUGAGGGGGCUCCAUGCAUUGUUGUUUCUAUUACUCAAAAAGUUAUUUCUCUCUCUUUAUAUCUCUCAAGGGAUCUUGUGCUAAGAGAAUAUUCUUUGUACUUGUGAGUUGGGCUAUGGACCAUUUAAAGCUCAUAUAUAUAUAUAUAUAUUUGGGGCAUGGAUAGGAUUUGGAUAAGAUUUUAAACACGAGUAUAUAUAUGUGUUAUCGAAAUUAUUUCUGUAUCGUCUCGUAUCACGUUGAUUCAGUAUAUGGAUCGAUCAUAAGAUAUCAGAAUCAGUUCUAAACUACCACGCGUGAUUCUUAGAGACCUUCAAACUGCAUGCGCACUAGCACGACUGCAGACGAGAAAUCGAGUCCAACUUCUGGAGAUUGCAUCUUCGUAUUUACUCCAUCUUCAUGCAUACUCUAAUAAAAACGUCAUAACUUUAUUAUAACUUUUUAGAGAACGGCAUUUUAAUAUAUAUUUUAUUUAUUCAACGCUUUUCUUACAUUUAAAAGUAAGAUGUAUCCCUCACUCACCUUUGAUUAAAAUCUUUAAUAUUUUUAAAAUUUAUAUUCGAACACCACGUAAGAUCCGAAGUAACACUAAUUUUGCUACGUGUCCAAAGUAACACUAAUUUACAAAAAAGUAACACAUCAAAAUUGCAUCAUUGUUCGUUUACUUGUGCAAAUAAUUAAUCAAAGUAAUAACAUUAAAUUAAAGAAAUUAAUAUAUUAAAAUUACAUCAUUGUGCUUUGCUUUGCCGACACAUGCACUGCUAAUAGUCGUUGAAUUUAAUUAUUCCUAGAUUUUUAUAAAUAUACUAAAUUGAUCUAUUUUGUCAUCACAUAUUAAAUUUUAUUGAUAAAAAAUAUUUUAAAUGCCGAAUAAGUAAUUUUUAAACCUACGUAUGCACUAAAACACUAACUAAGUAAAAUUUAUUAUUUAACAAAACGGAUAAUUAUACUUUUCCAAAAUGAAGAUCAUUUUAAUAAUAAAUAUUCUUUUUGAGCCAUCAAUUUUUCAAGAAAAAACUUUAGAUACACCCCUCAUGGAUUACCAUUUUUUUACUUUUGUAUUCUGUAGUUUAAAUUGUACCACUUAAGUAUGACUUUUUUCUUAGUUUUUCAUUACAUUCCUUUAUCUUCUUCAUUAAAACCGUCAUAUACCGUAGCACAUAUGUUGUAGAUCCUCGCUUCUUCGUUGUCGAGAACUUUCGAAAAAUGAUCUAGAUUAACAAGCCUUAAGGGGUCCGAUACUUUUGUUAUUAGUUUUUUACGCCUUGUUAUUGAUUUCUAUAAAACAUCUUCAAUGUACAUGCACGACACAUAACGUUUUUAACAUAAGAGAGAACGUAAAUGUUAGCAAAAGAUGAAAAUAGAAAUUACAAAGUAGUUAAUUGAUACACCUAAAAUUACUCGAUAGUGAAAAAUCGGUAAAUGAAAAGAUCAAGGUAUGCAAAUUUCUUUUUUUUUUAUUCUAUUAAAAAAUGUUGACUCAACACCUAUACGUACCCCAUGAGAUGAAACAAGCUAAUUUUAAAUUACUAAAAGUUGAGAGGGUCAAGUCCAAAGAAAAAUUUUAGCAAAAAUUCAAAACUACUAAUGCAAUCAACCCAUAAAAAUGCAUAUAUAAGUUGGUAUUUAAAAUAGAGCAAUUAAUUUAAUUCAAUUUUAAUUAAUACAUGAGAUCUUUUUGAGAUUCAUGCCUAUAUAAAUAUAAAUAUAAACAUAUAUUUGCACUUCAAUAUAACUGGUCAAACUUUCACACUAAAUUAAUAAUAGUUUUAAAAAGCAAGUGGGGUGAAGUGACUCUUCAAAGAUUAUAGGAAAGACCCAACUAGCUAUGUUAGUAAUAUUAUAAAAGAUUUAUUACGCUUAAAUUACUGGCUCAAAAUAUAUAAUUUUAAAUUAUCAAUGUUAAAGUUUGAGUUCUAAUUAAUAUACCAAAAUAUUGUCCUUAUAUUAUGAGAUAUAUAUAGAAAUAUUUUGUGCCGCACGUAUAAUAUCUAAUUUUUUAUUUUUCAUAGUUUUGAAAUUCGCUAGUUGUUCUCAUAUCAUAUGCAACGACGCCCUAUUUACUUGGGCUAUGCUACUGGUCUAGUAUGUUUAAACUAAACUUGCUAGUAACUUAAUAUUAAAACACUGGUCCUUAUAACUUAAUAUUUAGAAAAAAUUAAGUUUGAUUAAGUCACUCUUUAGUCUCUACUCUUCGCAAUUUAAUCUUCAUGAGAAGUACAAUUAAGUAUAAUUAAAUAACAAUUAUGCAUAUAGAAAUGAAGAUAUGUGACUUAGUCAUAGUUAAUUUAGUGGGUCAAAUAUUUGAUGGUCCCAUAUAUAUAUAUAUAUAUAGAGAGAGAGAGAGAGAGAGAGAGAGAGAGUAAAGUUAAGAGUACUUCGGAACUAAUAGGGGUAUCUGAAUUGAUGAUUGACGCGAUUAAACUUGAUUUAGAUUAUUUGAAUUACUUCAUAAGACUUAGAUUUCACAACUUUCUAACAUUUUUUGUCGAGUAAUUAAGUGAACUUAAAUUCAUCUUAUAUUAGCCGCUAAAAAUAGCCACUUUUAAGACCACUUGACACUUAAACAAUAAAAAAUGACAUAAUGACAUUGACGGAUCUUCAAAUUCAUAUCCUAUGAAGUUUAAAUAGUUCAAAUCAAUUUUAACAGUAUCUAUUGAUCACUGAUUCGAAUAAAAAGUUCAAAUAGUCCAAAUCAAUUUUAACAAUGUCCAUUAGCAAUUUGAGUACUCUGUUGCCGAAAAUGACAUGGAAGAAAGCAUUCCCAUUUACUUUAGAAGUAUUUCUAGUUUUGCUUUCUUUCUCUAUCUUUCUCUCUCUCUCUAUAGAUAGUGUGUGCGUGUUUUUGUGUGUCUUAGUCAUAGUUAAGUUAGUGGCUCAAAUACUCAAUGGUCCAAUACUAGCUACCUCUCUUAUGUCUUGAGAGAGACACAAAGGGGGUGAAGCAAUGAAUAUACCUUUCUUCAUCUCUUAGCUAGCUAGAGUGUGAUGUUAAUGUGAUUGUAGCCCCAAAACCAAUUGCAAUAGAGUGCUAGUGUUGCAUCUGUUAGGAUUUGGUUAGAUUUGUAGUUGAAUCCUAUUUAGAUAAGAAUUAAUAUUUAAAUCUGUUGAAGUAAAUUAAGAUUUAAAUAUUAAUUAGAGGAUAAACCUAACUAGAUUAGGAUUAAUAUUUAAAUCUAUUAGAGAUUGAUUAAGAUAGAUUUACAUAUUAAUUGGAGUAGAAAUCCUAAAUAUACUAGAAUUGGGUACAUUCUAGUUGGAGGAUUAUAAAUAAUGCAUUGGGUAAAUUAAUUUGGAGAAGCUGUGAGGGUGUACGGCAGGAGCUUGUGUGGUGCCGUACCCGAGAGAGAGAAAAAGAGAAAGAGAGAGUUAUUUAAUUAUGCUUUGAGUACACCUAGUGCACGGGUGCAUGUGAAGGAUUGUCUUCUUUAUGGGUUUAUAGAAGACGAGAGAAGGGUAGAAGAGAUUCAGAAAGAGGGCUCGGGUUGUAGCUACUCUGUGCAGAAGAGGAGUCAGGUGUAAUCUUCUCUUAUUUAAUGAAUCUUAUUUUACCUGCAUAUUUUUCUCUUUUAUGAUUGUAUCAGCUUUUGCUGAGGAGACGGGUUUAUGGUAAAAACCCGAUUCAACGCUUCCGUUGCGGAAUCCCAACAAUCGAUACCGGAUCCACAGCAGUCGGUAUCGGAGCGGGUUGCGGAUUCACGAGAUCCGGUACCGGGGCGAGUACCGGAUUCCCAACAGCAUCAAGAACAUAACUUUCUACGUAUAGCCAUAUCCAGUAAGUACUUAUUUCAUACCUAAAUUCAGAUCUCGAAACAAAGGUUGGUAUAGUAGGUAUUGCUUAUAAUGCACAAAUUUAGAUCUUUUAUUAAUGAAUUUGAUACGAUAACAUUCCGGCACGUGGAGAAUAACGCAUUCUCUGCGAUAGAAAAUAUCUCUUGCAUAUUUGACUUGAUCAGAAGUACGGACCACGAACCUUAGCAAAGUGAUCAAGCACAUCGAAAUUAUGGUUAUGAACACCAAUUAAACAAUUCGUCUCAUUAAACUAAUCACGAUCAUAUAUCAUGAAGGUGUGUGAAAAGGAUUUUGCUUUGCCAUGCACUUUGAAAAGUUUCAUUGAAAGAGAUUUGCCAAAUUGAGACUUCAUAUUAGGUUUUCAAAAUUGAUGUGAACUUGUGGGAAUUUAGGUUCCUUGUUGUUGUUAACUAACUUAGUAUUGGUCCAAUUUACGAUUAUUUUAGCUUUGAUUCUGACUUAGAAGCGUUUUUUUGGUAACGACAAAUAAUAUGUUUUCAACAAGACUAUUUCUAAAAGAAGCAAUAUGAUUGUCCCAAUAAAUGCUUUAUCUUUAGAACAACAAUUAUGUGGUUAAAAAAUAAAUAUUGUAGCCAGUAAUUAACUGGUGAAAAUGUAUAAAAACUUACUUUUUUGUAGGUCAUUUGGAAACAAUUAAUAUUGCAAAUAAAAUUUAGUUUAUUUGAUUCCAACCUCUCAACUAAUAUCUUAUAUAUCCUAUUUAUGUUCGAAAACUCUAUUGAAAAAAAAGGAUUAAUUUACAUAAGUUCCUGCAAAUAUAGUGAAUGACAAAUAUAUCUCUACAACAUUCAACUUGCAUAUGUUGUUUCUAUAAAAGUUCUAAGAUUUUCAAAUAUGUCCUUUUGGUUUGUUACCAUUAGAGAACCAUUUAUAUUUUCAAUUUUGCCAUCACAAAUAUAUUCUUCUAAAAGUCAUAACAGUAUGAUAUAAAGGGGUGAAAAUGUCAAAACUAACCAGAAUUAAAUAUUUAACCUAUGGUUAACUAAAAUUUUCUAAUGGAUUCUAUCAGCAGAGAUAUAGUUAAAAAUAUCAGAACUUUUGUAGGAACGACAUAUGAAAAUUGAACUUUGUAGGAAUAUAUUUGCGUUCACUAUGUUUGCAGGGAUAUGUAUGAAAUUGAUCCUAAAAAAUAAUGAUUUUUUUCUUUCUAUAUAUUUAAUCUAAUAAAAUAUUCUAAUAAAACAUUCUAUAAUUGUUUCGACAAGAUAUGUGAAGUACAUAUAGAAUUAAUAAAAAGAGAUCUUUAUAAAAUCAAUCAACACAUUCUAUUAUUUAAAAUUCCCUAUAUUUUUAUUUGGGUUAAAUUUUAGUGUAUACUUUUAAAUUUUAAAAGAACCUAUACAUCCUUCUAAAUUUUUAGUACCUAACAAAAAAACCUUCUUGUGAAUGUAUUGUCAUCUAUAUAAGAGUUAAAAUGCUUUUCUCUUUCUCUAUUUUUAUUUUAAUUGUCUCCUUUAAUUUUAUACCACACAUACGUAAUGUAAUCUCAAUCUCCACGUAUACUAAUGCUACAAAAUGUUGAGAGUUUACUAAUCCUUUUAAUUUUUUAGUAAAUUAAUAGAAAAAGUGAUAAGGCAACGGAAGAAAAGAUAGCUAUUUGAUUCAAAUUGUUGUAAAAUUAGAAUACAAAGUGGUUUACAAAUCUACCACAAUAUAUAUAUAUAUNAGAGAGGUAUUUUUGCAAGGUAUUGAAAAUUUAGAAGGAUAUAUAGAUUAUUUUAAAAUUUUUUUAAAAAUAUAAUAUUGAUUAUUUAUAAAUUUUUAAAAGGUCCACUAGUAUUUAUUCCUUUUUAUUUUUAAUUUCCUACUCUCUAAGGCCAUUGGGCUCUCUUAGUUUCAUGAAGGUCAUAAUUGGUCUAAAAUGGGUUUCCAUAAAGUGUAUUGUUUCAAGUUGGGCUUUGGAAAAUGCAAGAUCUAAUCUAAUCUCAAUUCAAAAUAUUUAAAAAAUAAAACUUUGUAUACACCAAACUCUUGUUUUGUAUUUGCCACAUGUUCAAGUUCCUUAGAAAUGUUACUCUUUAAAAAUAUUGAUGUAUUGAUAUAUAUAAUAUAGAGGUUUUCUGAUUUAUUCAUACGAUUGUUAGAUGCUUCAUACGUCAUACGUACGUAUGUAUUUUUUAACUGCCCUCAAAGAUUACUGACAGAAUUUACCCCUUUCGUUAUUCAGUUUACCGUAAAUUAAAUUCGUCUGUAAUUUCAUUUUAACCGAACAUUAUUAUAACUUUUGUAUCCUCUUACGUACUAGUACGAAAAUUUAAAUAGUCAACAAAAUAAACCAAAAAAUGGAAUAAUUAUUGUGAAAUUUUUCAACAAAAUAAAUUUAAAAAAAUAAAAAUAAAGUGAUGCGUUUGCCGGGAGUCGAACCCGGGUCUAUUGCUUGGAAGGCAAUUAUCCUAACCGUUGGACUACAAACGCAAUUAUAGUUUUAGGUUAAAAUGGUAAUGUAAUUUACUAAAUGGAUUAUAAUAAUUCACACUAAAUUACUCUUAAAUCAAUUAAUACCCAGCAAAAAAUUAUACAAAAAAAAAAAAAAAAAAACAUGUGACCAACUCAAUCUGCAACGUCUCGUAGAAAUUGAGCAACGCCCCUUUUAUAACUCGCCUGUAUCAAAUACUAUUUCACCAUUUCUUAUCAAUUCAAUAUUGCUCGCGUAAAAAAUCAAAAAAUGUUAAUCAUUCGAACCAAAGUGUCUACCUACAUUGUAGAAGCUCAAUCUUGGGAGCUAGAACAUGUAGCUCGCGAACGAAGCGACCCCGACGACCCGACCCCGAGUAAUCUCAAGGUGCGGGAGCACGAAAUGAGUCGGAUAGACCGAUCUCCAGAAGUUAACAUCCCGUAUUCGAACUAGAGAUGUCAAUGGGUAUGGAUAUCGGAAAUUUUAUUCGAACCCGAAUCCGAAUUAAACGGAUAUAUCCGACGAAUAUGGAUAUGGAUUCGGAUUCGGAUAUGGAUAUCAAAAAUAGAAAUCCGACGGAUAUGGAUUCGGAUAUGGAUUUUGACUGUAUCCGACCCGAACCUUAACCCGACCCGAAUCCGAAUUUAUUUUGUAUUAUAUAUAAUAUAUAUAUAUAAAUUUGAUGUUAUAUUUGAAUUUGUAUUUUAAAAAUUUAAAUUUAAUAUAAUAUAUUUUGAAAUAUUGAAAAAAGAAAUAAUUGUUUCGGGUUCAAAUUUUCGGGUUCGNGUGUAGAAAUAUCCAAAUCACGUGAAAUUUUGAUAGAAAAUUCUUUAUACUAUAUAAAACAAGAUCAAUAUCUUUGAUUUAAAAUUUUAAUGUCAUACUAUUACAUUUUGUAAGAUUUUUAUUUUCAGCCAUUGAUUUUGAGCCCCUUCGAUCACUAGGCAAAUGAUAUCAUAAAAUCAUAAAAUUUAUUUUCUUGGUACUUCAAAUACUCUAGAUCAAGUUUAACGGAGCCGAUCGACGAUUCGAAAGUCGCAACAUCGAAAACGAGCUGGAAGCACAGAAGGUUCCGUGCUUCCGAUAGCAUAGUAGCCUCACUCUAUAUAUAUAUAUAUAUAUAUAUAUAUAUAUAUAUUAAUGGUGUGAUUCUUGGCGAUCGCAAAAAAGAAAAUAUUAAUAGAUGAGUGAUGAAAAGUUAAAAGAGAGGUAUUUUUGCAAGGUAUUGAAAAUUUAGAAGGAUAUAUAGAUUAUUUUAAAUUUUUUUUAAAAAUAUAAUAUUGAUUAUUUAUAAAUUUUUAAAAGAUACACUAGUAUUUAUUCCUUUUUAUUUUUAAUUACCUACUCUCCAAGGCCAUUGGGCUUUCCUAGUUUCAUGAAGGCCAUAAUUGGUCUAAAAUGGGUUUCCACAAAGUGUAUUGUUUCAAGUUGGGCUUUGGAAAAUGCAAGAUCUAAUCUAAUCUCAAUUCAAAAUAUUUAAAAAAUAAAACUUUGUAUACACCAAACUCUUGUUUUGUAUUUGCCACAUGUUCAAGUUCCUUAGAAAUGUUACUCUUUAAAAAUAUUGAUGUAUUGAUAUAUAUAAUAUAAAGGUUUUCUGAUUUAUUCAUACGAUUGUUAGAUGCUUCAUACGUCAUACGUACGUACGUAUUUUUUAAGUGUUUUAUUUGUUUUCUUUACAUACUAUGAAAUUUACCCCUUUCGUUAUUCAGUUUACCGUAAAUUAAAUUCAUCUGUAAUUUCAUUUUAACCGAACAUUAUUAUAACUUUUGUAUCCUCUUACGUACUAGUACGAAAAUUUUAAAUAGUCAACAAAAUAAACCAAAAAAUGGAAUAAUUAUUGUGAAAUUUUUCAACAAAAUAAAAAAAAAAAAAAUGAAGUGAUGCGUUUGCCGGGAGUCGAACCCGGGUCUAUUGCUUGGAAGGCAAUUAUCCUAACCGUUGGACUACAAACGCAAUUAUAAUCUUAAAUUAAAAUGCUAAUGUAAUUUACUAAAUGGAUUAUAAUAAUUCACACUAAAUUACUCUUAAAUCAAUUAAUACCCAGCAAAAAAUUAUACAAAGAAAAAAAAACAUGUGACCAACUCAAUCUGUAACGUCGCGUAGAAAUUGAGCAGCGCCCCCUUUAUAACUCGCCUGUAUCAAAUACUAUUUCACCAUUUCUUAUUGAUUCAAUGUUGCUCGCGUAGAAAAUCAAAAAAUAUUAAUCAUUCAAACCAAAGUGUCUACCUACAUUGUACGUAGAAGCUCAAUCUUGGGAGCUAGAACAUGUAGCUCGCGAACGAAGCGACCCCGACGAUCCGACCCCGAGUAAUCUCAAGGUGCGGGAGCGCGAAAUGAGUCGGAUAGACUGAUCCCCAGAAGUUAACAUCCUGUAUUCGAACAGAAGAGAUUCAACAAUCGAAAUUCAAUUUCGGCGCACGAAAAAAGAAGUUAGAAUUUGCAACUGAGUACUAAAUUUUGAGGUGCCAUCACAGCUAGUCUAAAGUCGGCAACCGUAGGGCCGGCUUCCUCUGAACAAGCAGAGGCUCUCGAUGCCGGCAUUGUUCACCAGAUGGUCCACUAAUAAGAAAUCAAAGAAAACCAAGUCUUCAUUUAAAAGUGCAAAAAGAAAAAGUUUUGUUUAUCUUUAAAAAAAAGAAAAAGAAAAACUUCAAAUAUCCCAUUGUGGUUUCUCUCUUUCUCACUUUAGUAUCCUGUGAUUUAAAGUGUAUCAAGUUAGUACCAUGUGAUUUCGCACUUUCUCACUUUAGUAUCCUGUGGUUUAAAGUGUAUCAAGUUAGUACCCUGUGGUUUCGCACUUUCUCACUUUAGUACCCUGUGUUUUAAUAUUUUAUUAAGAAAAAAAUAAAAUCACAGAGUACUAACUUGAUAUAAAAUAAAACCAUAUGGUACUAACUUGAUGCAAAAAUAAAACCACAGAGUACUAACUUGAUAUAAAAAUAAAACCACAGAGUACUAAAUUGAUACACUUUAAACCACAAGGUACUAAAGUAAGAAAGUGCGAAACCACAUGAUACUAACUUGAUACACUUUAAGCCACAGAAUACUAAAAUGAAAAGAACGAAACCAUAGGGGAGGUUUUGAAAUUUUCCCUAAAAAAAAAUGCAUGAGUAAGAGGAAAACCGUAAAUUUUUUAUAUCUAAAAGCUUAACCUUUUAAAGUAUAACGAUUAUUUCACAUGAUAUCAGGACAGGAAGUUUAAAUUCGAGAUAACGGUUACUUCACAUAAUAUUAGAGCAGAAGAUUUUAAAUUCGAGUGAUGCCAGAUUCCUAAUAUUUUUAAGCUUUUAAAAUAACAACGAUAAUUUUACAUGAUAUCAGAGCAGAAAAUCUUAAGUUCGAGUCACGCCAGGCGCCUAACAUUAUUAAUUUUUUUCCAUUUAAUUCAAGUUCACAUCAUGAUCAGCAUAUUUAACAAUAUAAAAUUUACACCUAAUAAAUAGUAACUGUACAGGGAGUGUUACUCUUUAUUCUAUUAAAAAAAUUACUUUAUCCUUACUCCCUAAUUAAAACAAGUGCACAUAUAUAACAAAAUAUUUUUGUAUCCAAACACUUUUACAAAAUUACCACAAAAUGAUCGAAACACACGAGUCUCGCUCCAAAAAACAUCCUUUAUUUGGCACAUCUAUUUACCGAACCAGUGACAUUUACAUUAUGUAAUUUUACUACAAACAUACAUGCAUAUAUACACAUCCAGGUUUUGGUUAACUUAUAUAUGAUACUGAUGCUCUCAUUUCGUUGAUACAACACCUGGAAUUCGCAAAAACACAUGCUUCAAAAAAAAAAAAAAAAAAAAAAAAAAAAAAAAAAAAAAAAAAAAAAAAAAAAAAAAAACUUUGCUACUCGUUUUUUAUGUCGGGGGAGUGCGAGGAGGAGGGGUAGAGCACGGCCUUGGCGCUGCUGAGGUCGAGGAUCGUCUUGACGGGGGCGUCGCCGGGCGGGGGGGGCGACGUAGAGCACGCGGAAGCACCAGUCGAACACCUCGGGCGCGAACACCCACCACAGGUGGAGCACCCGGAACCAGGCCGGCACCGUCACCCGCCGCUCCCCGCGCCGCGCCGCCUCCACCAUGCACCGCGCGCACUCCGCCGCGUACUCCAUCGGGAACAGACAUACCUGCGCCUGCAUUAACGUGCAAAACUUAUCUGAAGUAAGAACUAUUUUAGAUUUACGACUACAUAGUUUUUUAAUUUGUUUCAUUUGAAUCAAUCAAUUGUAUUUUAAUUAACUUCAAAAUUUAAACUAAUUACUUAAUUAUAUUUAAUUUCAUACGUAUAUACUUGUAACUAGUUAUUUCAUUAAAGUUUCGUCCAUUUAAUCUCAUCCAUAUUUUUCAUUUUAUAUUUUUUACACAUAUUGUAGCUAUAAUAAUGCACGCGAGGUUUUGGAAGCAUUUUGUAGCUAUAAUAUGCAAGUUCUAAUUUACAUUUUACUAGAGUUAGCCACUCAAUUGUGUUUAAUUCGCCCUAAGAUUUGAAUAAAUCAUUUUUUUAGCAAUUUGAAAUGGGUUUCGAAACUUUAAAAACUUCGCUUUAAUUCAUUGCCUAAUUUUAUCUUAACCAUCACAUUUUGUGUUAUUACUUGAUAGAUUAUUAUUGAAGUUUUGGCGACAAAAAUGACAGGAAUCAAAAAUCAAAACUUUUAAAAUAUGGAUGCUUAUUUCAAAUUCAAAUUGCGAUUUAAGGAGAUUCAUAUAUAUAAAUUCACUUGCUCAUUUCAAAUUCAAGCUUCAAAAAUCUAUUUUCCUUGACAAUUAAUUUCAACAAAAUUGAAUUCAGCUUUCCAAGCAAGAAGCUCACGUAAUUUCGCUUCCGGCCCCAGCGAAAAGCUUCAAAAUUAAAUAGCCUCAAAACACAUUAUUUUCUAUUUUUGGUUUAUCAAAAUUUCUAUUUUUUUUUUCUUUGCUAAACAUUUCUAGCUAGAAAGAAACUUUUUUUCUCAUUGACAUAAACUUUGGUGUAUAACUAAAGAAUUAAAUACAAGUUUAGGGAAACUAAAACUACAUAAAAUCCCAUAAAAUCAAGUUUUUCGAAAACAAUAUAUUUAGUAGAGAGGCUUACAUCUCUCAACUCCUGGUUAAUCUCCAUCCUCCCAUCCUUGGUUAAGAACUUCCCUUUCGUCAUCUCGGAUUCGAUGAAGCUGGGAGUUGCAAUCGUGAUUCCGACCUCGUUGCCGAGCUCGAUCCGCAACGUCUCGUAGAAGUUUAUGAGCGCCGCCUUACUAGCCUGUGUUUGUAAACACCUGAUGUUAAAUAUAAAAUAUAUAAACAUCCUUCUCUGAUACCUUAAACUAUUAGAGAUAAAUGAUUAUUUCGUAUUAUUUAAUAUAGUAUUCUACCAGCGUAAGCUUUUUAAUUAAUACCCAUAUUAAAUAAUGAAAACAAUCGUUUUCUUCAAAAACAAAAGCUGAUAUAGAGAAUGAUAUUUAGAUAUAUUUUUUAUUAAACACCUAAUAGUUUAAGCGGUAAGGCGUGGUGUUGGAAUUUCUUAGUUUAUCGGUUUGAAAAGAAUAAUCCAAGAAAAUACCACGUGAAUUUUUAAAAGUAGAAGGUAAUCGAUCAAUCUUUCAACCAACUACGUGUUGGCUUAAAUGGGCCAGCAUCCUGCCCUGUGGCGGGAGGCCAUGUGGGCCGAGUCAUGUUCGAAAUGGCGUGAGACUGGGUUGGGCCGAGUCAUGUUCGAAGUGGCGUGAGGCCAGAUGGGUCGAGUCACAAUCGAGACCCGUGGGCGCUGUUUCUGUACGCUUUAAGUAAAUUGGUUGCGUAUUUCUAAUAGCUCGAGCUUUUAGGAUUAAUGGUUAGCGCCAACGAUUCGACACUACGUACUGCAUCCCAACUUUAACACAAAUUCUAAAAAUGUUGUUAGUACGUGACAGUCACAUAAACAUUGAAUCGAAGAAAAGAAUGUUUGAGAUUGCUCACAUUGUAGAAGCUCUGCCUUGGCAAAGGCAACCACCCAGAGGCCGAGGAGUUCACUACGAUCCUCCCUUUGGUCUUCUUGAGGUGCGAAAGCGCGUAAUGCGUCGGAUAAACCGAUCCCCAGAAGUUCACAUCCUACAUACAAUUAUAUAAUAUAUAAUAAAUUACGUUUGUGUAUAACACAUAGGUUGUUGACAAUUAUACACAAAGUUGAGCUUAAUCAAACUAGAAUUACGAAUUGAGCUUGAAAUUUUCGAUUCGCCGAUUCUAAUCAUAUACGCAUUUACAUUUCAUUACCAUUACGGGUGUGAAUUUGGUUACAUCGGGAGCCUCAUCGAACAAGCAAACGUUCGCUAUGCCCGCAUUGUUAACCAGAUGAUCCACUAUACUCCGUCGGAUCACCAAAAGUUCGCAAAAGAGAUCGAACAGAAAACAAAAUAGUUAAAUUAGACAUAACUAGUACUCUCGACAAAGAUCUGCAAAUCGAUUACUUUGUGGACCACUUACGACGGCCGAAGUGCGCGAUGACGGCGCCAACAAACCGUUGGCAAUCCUCGGGCUUGGCGACGUCAGCUGGAAUGACGAGGACGUCCGGCAACCCCAGGUCCCGCGCCCUCUCCGCCACCUCUUGGAGGCUCCCUUCUCUCCUCGCCACGAGAACCAAUGCCGCCCCCUUCUUCGCAUAUUCGUAUGCUAGUUGCUGAGAAUGUAACAAUUAUAUAACAAGAUAUUUGAAUAUGUAUGUAAAAAUUAAUGUAUAGAGAAAAAAAAAUGAUCAGAGCUCAUCUGAACUUUAGUGCAUUUUAAAAUAGCCAAAAUUUUAAAAAGAGUAGUUUUAGUACAUAUUUUGAUGAUAUUUUGAUACUAAAGUAGUUGAACCAUAAAUGUUCUGAUUCCAUAAAGUAGUUCUUAUAUUGUUUACAGAAUAUAUCCAUCGGACUAGCAAAAUUUCCAUCAAAUUAUAAAAUAUUCCAUAAAAAAUGUUAAUAAUAUACUAUGAUAUUAUAUAGUAUGGUAGAAUCAUUAACUUCUGAAGCUCGUGUACGCUUAUUUAAAUUACUUUAUAAACGACCCCGCCAACUAGUGCUAAAGACUUGUUAGACCUGAACCAGUAGUCCAAAAUGCUUUAGCUCAGAGAUCAGUUCUAGUGUAUUAACCACAAAUAUAUUAAGCCUUUCACACACUAUCAUAUAUAUUUUUAAUGUGAGAUUAUUGGAGUGUUGUGUACUUCUCCUAUUUUAGGCCCUAACAUUUUUGUCAGCUCAAUUAUACAUAGCUCAAAAUCACAAGAUAAUAUGAGGCUCACCGUACACUUUUGACUGGUUAACCAACUCUGAUAUCAACUGUACCAACCUAACCCACUAACACUAAAACUUGUUGGCUGGAACCACUUGCCCAAAAUGGUAUUAAUUUGUGUUAUAUAUAGUAAUUUGUGUUAUGUAAAGUGUAUAUAUAUAUAUAUAUAUAUAUAUAUAUAUAUAUAUAUAUAUAUAUAACCAUAGCCCUUCGCAAGAUUACAUACUCCACAAAGUCUAAUUUUCUUUCAUACCCUAAUAUUAAAAAGCUCAAUUUCUUACUUAUAAUGCUUAUUUUAUACUUAGAACUUAUUUGGCGUUACUAUAGAAAAUAGUGUUGUUUAAUGAAUUGCUAUCUGAGUAGUAAUCUUCUAUAUUAAUACCCGCCAGCAAGGGCUACUUCUGUCUGUGUAAUACUGCAAGAGAAGCUUCUGCUUUUAAAGAUCACAAUGCGAGAUUUUGCUUUACAUUACCAUUAGUUGAAAAAAUAAUCAGGUACAAUAAACAAAAACAGUCGUAAAUUGUUACUAUAAAUCUUACAAUAAUAAAUGACUAAAUAAUAUGAUUCGCAUUAUCAGAACAGCACAAACUAUUAUAGUAAAAUUGAUUUAACAAAAGUAACCUCGCCGAUGCCAGAGGAGGCGCCGGUGAUGAGAACCACCUUGUGGGUCAAGUCCUCGGGGAAGAGCGAGUACAAGAAGGAGAGGAGGAGCUUAUACAAGUAGAGAGGAGGAACCAACAGGAACAGAGCUACUAAAGCCAUGGGGGGAGCCACCACGUUCAUUAGCUUGUUGAUCAAAUCCAUGGUCAUGUGUUCUUUUUCUUUUCUUUUUUUUUUUUUGUGUGUGUGUUUGGAGAAGAGGAGAGGAGGUUUCAAGGAGUGUAGAGUGUGGAGAGGGAGAGGAGAAGCGUUAUUAUUAUUAUUUUAUUAUUAUUAUUAUUAUUAUUAUUAUUUUGCUUGGCACGUGUGCGUGCAAGCAUGCAUGAAUGAGGGGACACGUGGAGAGGGGGUGGGCACACGUGCCAAAGAGUAGCAGUGGUUUGGAAUUAAGAACUCAUCAAUAGUUAUCCCGAACGCAGUUUCUCGAUCAAGUUAUUACUAUAAAUAAAUUAAAAUGUAUUAUAUAUAUUUUUUUUUUUUCAGAAAAAUAAUAAUUUAUUAAACUUUUUCAAAGCCGAGAAAUUAAGUAUAAUCAUAUUAAUAAAAAAUCUCUUCAUUAAAUAAUAGUAUUAGUGACAAUACCCUUUUUAAGAUCAUAGAUUUUGCAUGAAAGGAUUGUUUGUAAUGGCAACCAAAUUCUAUAAUUUAAACUUUAGUGUUUGAGUCUUAUAUAAUAGAGAUAAACAGGGAAAAAGAAAAAAAUCGAACUCUAUAAAAUUAAUUUUAAAUGAUUGAUUAAAAGUUUCAAGAUCCACAUUUCCUAUACCAUAUCAAAGAACAAGAAAGCCCAUAAUGCAAGUGUGGACAUAGAAGAGUUUACGUAAUUUAGCAAACAAAUAAAUCUUAGUUCACGUCUAAUAUAUAGUUUCUAUAGUUUAUAUAUAAUAUAAUAUUAUUAUAUUUACAAAAUAGCUAUAAUAAUGAUACAACAAGAACCGCAAAAUAGAGAAACCCCACUAAAAUACUUGUUUACUUUCACAUCAUUUCCGGCAAUAUGACAUACAUCUGAAUUGACAAUCUAUACCGUAACUAUUUUAAUAUUUUAUAUUUCAAAUUUUAUAAUUUUUCAACAUAAGUGGCCCGAAUUCAAGUAGUCUUAAAAUUGACUACUUUUAAUGACUGAAUUUGAGACUGUUUGAUCGCGGGGCAAACAAUGUCGGAAAAAUACAAAAUUUGAGUCUUAUAAAGUUUAAAUAGUCUGAAUCAUGUUUAACGGUGCCGAUCGUCAAUUCAAAUGCCCCAUCGCCGAGAAUAACACGAAAGUAAACGCCUCCGUUUACUUCUAGAAGCAUUGUAUCUGUACUCUAAAUAGAGAGUUUAGUUUGCUUUCUCCAUCUUUUUAGCGGGAAACCGAAGGAGCAAAGUACAUGCAGAUCGGCGGGUUGAUCCGAAAGAUCGAUAAUAUGGCAGAAGGAACGGUCCAGAUCCCGUCGCCGCAGAUCAAGCCGGAGGCGACGGCACCGGCGUACUCGUCGGCCUCCUUAGGGUUCACGCGCUCCCACAUGAACAAUAUCACCGUCCCGACGAACAUGUCGAUCGCGAAGUACGCCCCGAUGUAGAAGGGAAUCGCCACCGCCAUCGGUAUCGGAAUGAACUUCGACACGUUCUUCGGCGCGACGUCCCUCAAGAGGUUGACCGCCAAUGCCGCGACGAAGAAGCCAGCGCAGAUCGCGAGGCAGUGCUUGGGGAGCGCCGAGAAGCCCUCGAUGCCGAGUAUGGCCAUCUCGCGGUAGAUGACGGCGUAGGGCGCCUUGUACACGCCGUCGGGGGCGCCGAUGUCGAAGGCGGUCCAGAAGAGCCAGAACGUCAGCGGCGCGAUCAGGCAGCCGAGCGCCGUCCCCGCCAGCUGCGACACGAACAUCGACCGCGGAGACGAGAAAGUGAGGUACCCCGUCUUGAAGUCCUGCGUCCGCGUAGGCGCGAAAACAGAUCAGUUGGUGACUACAAAAAGGCGUUUUUGCGCGCCAAACAUGUACUAAAACCAUACAAGUAGAUCAGAAUACAGUUAAGUAGAGAAUAAAACCAAUUUUAGUUUAUUCUGGACAUAAUAACUGCUGUUGUAUUUUGUUAUAUGAAUGCGCAUUCACGUAAUCAAAAUGGAUUAUGCGGAUAAUGAAUCUAAAACUCGAGUUUGUAAGCUAGAUAGGGCAGAUAUUUAUAUUCUAUACCUGCAUGAGGUCGGCGGCGGUGGACACGAUGGACAUCAUCACGCCGCAAGCGGCGAGCCCGGCAAUGACGCCGCCGUUCUUGCCGACUAAGGAAGCGAAUAUGAAGAGGCCGAUCUUGCCGUAGGUGGAGGCCAAGUUCCAGUCGGUGAGGCCUGUGCCGUAGGAGUUGCAGAAGGCGAGGGCGGGGGCCACGACGUAGCACGCGAGAACGAGGUACCACUUGACCUGCGGGAAGAUUGUCGGUAUGGUCGCUGUGGAUAUUGCUGCGAGUGCGACGUAGCCGGAGGCCGCGAGCCAGGAAGGUAUGCUGUCUUUCACGAAGAUUUCGUUUCGGAGCUUUUCCUCGUUCGGCAACUGAUCAGAGCUCUCCUCAGCUGUGGAUAUGAAUUUAAAAAAAAAAAACUUAAUUGGAUGCGGUAAAUUAAACUACAUAACGGCCGCGGGAUAACUUUACGAGGGUAUUUGCACAAUUUCAUAUAUUUGCAGAGUUACAUAUGCCAAAAAACAUAACAACAAAAAACAAAAACAAUCCACAAGCGUAGAACCAAGUAAAACAUUUUUUUUUUAGGACGGGUCUUCUUGAGAUGCACCUCUUCCCUGCCAUUGGAUCUCAUCACUCCAUAAACGUAAUGCUUUAAUAUUUGUACGGAAUAAAGUGUCGUGCUAGAGAAAGGUGUGUAUAAAAAGACCAGUCUGAUAAUAGGAGUAUGGCUCCACAACCGGCAUUGUGCUUACCUUUUGCAGAUGUUGCGACAAUCGGAAGAGCGUCCUGCUUUGAGCGCGCGUUCAUUACCUCCUUUCCAGUGAUCAGAAUUAUCUUAAUCAAGUUGUAAAGGCCGUCCCCAAGUAUUAGAGAUAUGGCUAUAAAAACCUGCGGCGGAGCAUACACAGAUUAGCAAUUCCGUCGAUAUAAACCAAUGAUAGGAUAUGAGAAGUUUAGUAAAGCAUGGGAAGCGGAAUUCGCCUGGUUCAUAAAAAGCCAUAAAAUGUUGGCUGUAAUCGCAACAACGUACGAGUGCUUAUAUUUCAUUUGAUGCACAAUUUAGUUUCUUCAUUCAUUUUCUUUUCGGUCGCACAUUAGAAACAGCAUGAUGAUACGGUUCGCGCAACAGAUCCAACCUGUUUGUAAUCCGGUCCCUAAAACUAGAACAUUAUUUGUAUAAAAAAAAGGAUAGAUUUUCACAUACACCAGGCUAAAAAUGUACAUUCCAAAUCAGUGCAAAGUGCAAAAUUUUAUCAAUGAUCACACAAUACACCCGAGCUAAUACAAUAUUAUGAGGAAUUGAGCUAGAAUACUUUUAGAAGCACCACUUCCUUGGUGCUUCUAAGUUUUUAGCCCUUGGAUCUACUUCUUAAUUAUUAAUAGCCUUUGGAUCAAACACUAUUCCACCUACCACCAUCUACCACCAUCAUUCCAACCCUACAUUUCUUCAUCCAAAGGCUAAAAACUCAAAAGCACCACCUCUUUGGUGCUUUUGGAAGUAUUCUAGCUCAACUCAUAUUAUGAGUGCCAUUUUCAACAUUUUGUAGUUUCUUCUCAUAAGAAAACUAAGGAAAAUCUUGUAGUCAUUUGACUGUUCCAAAAUGCUUAGCAAGAAAAAUCGCGAAAAAAGUCGAAUUCAUUGAACUAAGGCUAUUAAGAAAACUAAGGAAAAUCUUUUGGAAGUAUUCUAGCUCAACUCAUAUUAUGAGUGCCAUUUUCAACAUUUUGUAGUUUCUUCUCAUAAGCAAACUAAGGAAAAUCUUGUAGUCAUUUGACUGUUCCAAAAUGCUCAGCAAGAAGAAUCGCGAAAAAUGUCGAAUUCAUUGAACUUGUGAUAGUUUCGUUUUCCAAUUCAGAGAGGAACACAUACCAAGACUAUUGCAAUUCAUGGAUAAGAUACAACGAAGGUUGCGCUAAUGGCAUAAGUUUUUAAAACCAUAUAUGAUGUGUCUCCUAAUUCAUUCAUUCAUUCAUAUCAGUAAGAUAAAGUUGUUGCUUUUAAGGCACUACAUGUGUAUUUAUUACACCAUACCUUGUACCCAUAGAGACCUCUGAAGUCAUUGCUUCCGAGGUUAUCAGGAUACCAAUCGCCUGCACGUGCGGUGAUGAAUGGCCAGAGAAUACCCCACGAUAUAAUGGCUCCCAAAAGAACAGAGCAAUUAACAAUAUGAGGGCAUAUAAGACCGCAUCCAAGAUAAGUGGGACUGAAGUCAAAAUAGAACCUGAAACAAUUUAGAAAAAAUAACAAUAAUAAUGGUUUCAAUAAUAGCACCCUCUACUAGUGUGCUAUUGACAAUUGCAGCUUCCACGCUUAACGUAAAAUGUUUACUGUAGGCAAGUUAGAGAUCAUAAUAUUACUACUCAUGAAUAGAGGUGAAUGUAGAAGCUGUUCGAUCGAUCCGUCAGUGAAAAAGGAAAGAUCUGCGGAGGAGAUUAAUGCACCAAAACUUACGUGUUCUUAAAUGCUUCAAGGCCUAGUGUAGGAAAGUUGUCGAAGCCACAAGAAUCCCCAACACCACUAAAGAACCACUUGAAGCAACUCCACAAGAAGCUAAUGCUCAGAUACUUACCAAGGCAAUGAACUUGCUUUCUGCAUUACAUGUAUUCCAUGUAAGAGGUAUCAGAGAUCUAAUCUGCAAGCAAUUAUUCAAUAACCUUUCUAUUUUUUUUAAGAAAAAAAUCAACAUAGAUGGGUUAUCGGAUCAGCAAGCAAAUUUAGAAUAGUCGGGAAGAAAAAAAAAAAAUCGCAAAUGACUAUGAAUAUGAAUAACUUUACAUUAGGAAACAUUUACCACUUUAUCUUACUGUUACCUGGCAAGCUCAGCUCCAGUAUUAGUAUGAAAGCUGUUUAUAAGCAGGGCCGUUGCUGUCCCACUUGGAUAUGUAAGCUUAUAAUCAAUAACCAUCACCUACAAUACAUGACAAGUUCAUUAAAAUGUGGUCAAGAAGUGUCCCUUAAGAAAUACAUAAAAUACAAACUAAAAACAUCGAAGAGAUAUAAUAUAGCUAAACAUACAAAGAAGAAGCGCCUUAAAGUAAACUGAAGUAAGAGUUGUGGAUACCUUCCGUAGUGCGACGAGACUAAAGAGCCCAAGGAAGCUAACGACGAACAUGAAACCAAUCAUCCAACCCAAGGAAGGAUUUUUAACAUCUUCCGCCCUGUUGCCCGGAUAAUCUGGUCCGAUAAGUUCAUACGUUCUCUGAUCCAUCGAAAGCAUAUACGACCCAAAGCCCCCUGUCAACUAAAGUGUAAAUUAAUUGAACCUUUCAAAAAGUUAAAAAUAGCUUUCCUUAAAAAAAUGUUAUACUUUUGGAGAUCAAAAAGAUAAACUCCAAGCCACAAGUUAACAAUGCCAACACUGCAAGGCCAAAAUUUAACCAAGAUACAAUGAAUUGAGCCUCAACACUCUUCUGAAGCAUAAUUUAUGUGCAUAAAUCACAUUUUAAUUGAAAGUACGAAGAGGAAAGAACCAAUAAGGAAAAAAAAUCUCAAUUAGAUUGUUAACUGAGUCUAAUCCAUCGUCACGUAGCCAAAGUUGUUCUACAUUUGAUUAACUCCUGAAUGAGGCUUGAAACUGGUUAAAUUUGUCGAAUUUGCCUGCUUAUCUGCUCAAAUUGAAUCUUAUGUUGCUCUGAUCGAUGUCGAUUGAUCACUUUUGGAUUGAACCCCUAAUUGGCUACUAAUAGUAGUUUGGAUUAGCCUCGUAAUAGAACAUAAUUUAUUUACGAAGUUCCUCUCCAUUACGAUCAGUACAACCCAAAAUCCCAUUUUCACUCAACACAAAAGCAAUUUAUUCAUUUAAUCAGUGAUUCAAACCGUACAUAAUCAAAUUAAAUAAGAAAUUCUAAUAUACAACCCAAUUUGAAUCAAAAUUACGCAACAAAUUCACCAAAAAUCAAAGCAAAUUGAGCAAAAUUACCGCUAAAAGCCAACCCAUAGCACGCGACCACGCACGUCUGGAUCACCGUGUUCUCCUGCUUCGUGAAGGGCUUCGUCACGAACCCUAUCCUCUCCACGAACCCCGUCCAGCUCUUCACAAGGAAGAACCCGAGGAGCCCCGCGGCGACAUUGAGAGAGGGGAUGAUCCCCACGGUGAGAUUGAGCUUGUGCGUGAUGACACAAAAGAGCGUCCCCAGCAUCGCGCUCACCACCAACCCCCUGAUCGUGAUCUGCUCCCUCCACGGCGGGAUCUCCUCCUCCUCCGCCGCCGCCGCCGCCGCCCCGGGAGAAGGAAGCAGCGGCUCCCCGAUCUCCGCCGCCGCCGAGGUGACCUCCGUCCCCAUUUGGCGAUCGCUUAGGGUUAGGGUUAGGGUUAGGGUUGCUUCGGGAGAGAGGAGAGAGGAGGAGGAGGAGGGAGAAGAUUGGGGACGAUGACGGUUGUGUUUGCUUUGAACGAGACGGUUGAGGCCAAAAUAUAACUUCUUUUGUAUUGGAUCCGGAUGUAUACCGGAUGUAUACUAUUUGGUGCAUCCGCGUCGUGAUUGGUCCAUUCUUGUGGGUCCCACGAGAGUAUCUGGAGCUGACCAAUCAGAGUCCAGGAGAACCGUGUUUGCUGUUGAGCGCUGAACAUCGGUUGAAGCUAUAUCUCUUUCGCACUGCACCAGAUCCGCUGUUGGUAACGUCGAAUUCAGUUCGGUACGUCCUCUGGGUUUUUAUUGGUUGAACUUUGUGGGGCCCGCGAAAAUGUUUCGUGUUGGCCAAUCAGAGAGAAGGACAAUCACGUUGCUGUUGUGGGUUGUACGGCGCAUUUGGAUUCUGCGCUAGUAUUGUUUACGCCAGGUGACGGUACGCGGACCGAAAAUGUACCCCAAAGCGUGUGCUGGUCAUUAUUAAUUUUAAUAUGGGUAAACUUUAAAUACCAUCCCUGUGAUUUCGCACUUUCUCACUUUAGUACUAUGUGGUUUAAAGUGUAUCAAAUUAGUGUCCUAUGAUUUUAUUUUUAUCUUUUCAUUAGUUUUUCCGUUAAUAUUCGUUAAAUUAUAUACAAAAAGCUUCAGAUACCUCACCUAGGUUUAUCGAAUAUUCACUUUAAUAUCAUUUAUUUUUAACUUUAUAACUGAUUUAACGAAAAAAAUUAAUAAAAUUGAUAAUAAAAAGAUAGAAAUAAAACCACAAAGUACUAACUUGAUACACUUUAAACCACAUGAUUCUAAAGUGAGAAAAAGCAAAACCACAAGGGGGGUAUUUGAAGUUUUUCCUUAAUUUUAAUGAGUAAACUUUAAAUACCACCCCUAUGAUUUCGCAUUUUCUCACUUUAGUACCAUAUAAUUUAAAGUGUAUCAAGUUAGUGUCUUAUGGUUUCAUUUUAUCUUUUCGUCAGUUUUUCUGUUAAUAUUUCGUUAAAUUAUAUACAAAAAGCUUCAGAUACCUCACCUAAAUUUAUCGAAUAUUCAUUUUAAUAUUCUUUACUUUUAACUUGUCACUGAUUUAACAAAAAAAUUAAUAAAAUCGAUAAUAAAAAGAUAAAAAUAAAAUCACAUGACACUAAAUUGAUACACUUUAAACCAUAGGAUACUAAAAUAAGAAAUUGUGAAAUCACAGGAAUAGUAUUUGAAAUUUUUUUAAAAUAUUUUAAGAUUUUAUAUAUCCAAACCUGAUCUAUCAGCUAGUUACUUCUAUCAACUUAAAGAUGUUUGAAAAUAAUAUGUAAUAUUUUAUAUUUUAUAUUCAAUGAGAAUAUUUUUAAAGGAUUUAGAUCAAUAACACUUUGAUAAUUAAUAUAAAAUUAUAAUUCGGCUGAAUUUUUAUAAGCAUAAAAGUAUUUAUCUUGUAGCCAAUCUGAUAAUGAGUAAAUAUUGUAUUCGUCGCAUCUAUGUUUUAGAUAUUUAUACGACGAUUGAGCAUAUAACUAUAACUAGUUAAGGGACCCGCGCGAUACUGCGGGUAAUUUUUUUAAAAAUUUAAUUUUGAAAAUUAGUUAUAAAAAUUAAUUUCAGAAUUUAAAUGAUGCAAUAAGUACAUUAAAAAAUUUUAGUCGGCAUAAGUAGUCCCCCAUUAGUUAGUGAAAUAAUUUUAGUAGGUAUCGUAGUCCCCCAGUAGUUAGUGAAUGAGAAGAGAAAUCAUUGUUUGUGAUUCUUGCAAUUAAUUUUUGUCAAAUAUAAAAUUAACUUAAACUGCAUCAAUUUUAUUUUAUUUUUUAAUGUACAAUUUAUAUGUGAAUGCUUAAUAUUAUAAAAUUAAUAUUUAUAUCUAAUACCAGUAGUCUAAAUUAUUUAACAUUUAUUUAUAUAUUUUAUAUUUUAUAAAAAUAAAUAGUAAAUUAUAUAAUAANAUGAAUUGUGCUAGCGGAGGGCUCGGCCAUCGACGAAGGCGAAAACGUAGCGUAGAAUAGAGUUUUGGGUAUACAAGAAGCCGCGAGGGAUCGUUAUAUAGUUUUCAUCUGGUAGGUCUUCUUACUUAUGAUGCCUGUUCAGUGCAUUCCUCAACCAACUCAAUUAGAGGACUAGUUAUCCCCGCGGGACACGAACUUACAUGAAACUCUACUUUGAACACAAGUUCACUUUCGUUAGGAAUCCGCUCUAACACUUUACGAAGUGGGAAAACAACCUUCUUUCUUUGGAAAUUGAAUUUAUUCGUUACCUUCCCCACCUGACGCCCUGACCUCUAACUAUUACUAGGAUAUUGAAUCUCGCAAAUGAAAUAAGACACAAAUCAAACUUGAGACUUGCGUGGUACUUUCAAUCGUCCGUGGAGUUGCCUUGCCGGCGUGAUCACAGCCUUCUUCUUUGUAUGCGCUGCGCGCUUGGAAGCUACAGUCUGUCUUCUGCCAGUUUCGCGAUAGCUCUUGAGAGCACGAGUAUACUUUUUGUCUCUGCCCUAGUGGAACGAUUCCCAGAAUUUACUGCUCUAUGGAAGACCAAAGAAAGCCCUUCGAGGGAAAGGGAGAAUGAUCCACAAAGAUAAAAACCCAACGAAAGAUCACUGACCCACAGAACUACGACAAAUGAGUGGCGUAUGAGCGAAACGAGAUGAAACUGAAGACUAAGCCAUUCGUGACUUUGAAGUUGAUACAUCGCCCAAAGUGGGAGAGAUUUUGUCUGAUCCAUGUGACCAUACUGAUACAACCAAGCUUCCUUGAAAGCAAACUUCUCUGUCAGAGAUCCACGAUCCGGUUGAUUGCUUAUUCGACUCUGCCUUCUCUGAGCCAGAUCAAAGGCUAGGGCAUUGGCUCACUGAACCUAACAAAAAUCCAAUCCAAAACUUUGAUGGCAUCACAGGAGUGCCAACCAAAUCCUGUGGUUUCAUAUUUUUCUUAUUCGAUAAAUCUAGAUAGGGUAUCUGAAGUUUUUUGUAUAUAAUUUAACGAAAUAUUAACAGAGGAGCCAACGAAAAGAGAAAAAUGAAAUUACAGAGUACUAAAUUGAUGCUAUUUAAACCACAUAGUACUAAAAUGAGCAAGUGCAAAACCACAGGGUGGUAUUUAAAGUUUUUUCUAAACAAAUAAUGACUUUGAUUUAUAAUUGAAAAGU
rnacentral:lncRNA from 1 species